rnacentral:tRNA from 1 species
UGCGGAUAGCAAGACUCGAACUUGCAACAUCUCCCUUCCAAAAGGAGUAGGCUACCAUUGCCCUAUAUCCAC